CGGCCACAGCCCAAAACUCAAGGGACUUGGCGGUGCUUUAUACCCCUCUAGAGGAGCCUGUUCUAUAAUCGAUAAACCCCGAUAAACCUCACCAAUCCUUGCUAAUACAGUCUAUAUACCGCCAUCUUCAGCAAACCCUAAAAAGGAACAAAAGUAAGCACAACCACAACACAUAAAAACGUUAGGUCAAGGUGUAACCUAUGGAAUGGGAAGAAAUGGGCUACAUUUUCUAUCUUAAGAA
rnacentral:rRNA from 1 species